AAGGCUUUAGCUUAAUUAAAGUAUCUGUUUUGCAUGCAGAAGAUGUGGGGUAAUGUCCCGCAAGUCUUA
rnacentral:tRNA from 7 species